UACGUAGGGUGCAAGCGUUAAUCGGAAUUACUGGGCGUAAAGGGCGCGUAGGCGGCGUGUCAAGUCAGGCGUGAAAGCCCCGGGCUCAACCUGGGAACCGCGCUUGAGACUGGCAUGCUCGAGUUCGGGAGAGGAUGGUGGAAUUCCCAGUGUAGAGGUGAAAUUCGUAGAUAUUGGGAAGAACACCGGUGGCGAAGGCGGCGACCUGGUCCGAUACUGACGCUGAGGCGCGAAAGCGUGGAGAGCAAGCAGG
rnacentral:rRNA from 1 species